AUACGGGCUAAGCCAGUAUAGUAAUUAAUUAGCUGACUGAACAUUUGCAUUGUGAUUAUAAAUGCACAAAUUAUUCAACUCUAUUCUGUUAGGAACCAGGUCUUCCUUUUAAUCUCAACUGCCCAUCAAUUACAAUGUACUUAUACCUUAAGGUGAUGAGAGCAGCAGAAAUGCCUAAAUAGGUUGCUAGAAAGUGCUACGAAUAAAAUAGAGAUGUAAUUCAUUAGCAUUGGCCACUCUUUAAUUGGAUGAAUCACACAAUGGGUGUGUUCCCAAAGCCAAUCAGUGUGUGCCAGUUCAGUAGAGCCACAGCGAGCAACGCUGUGCUGCGUCAUUCGGCAUUCUCUGACGAAUUACAGCCAAGAAAUGUGUACACCUCCCCUCAAUUGCGGGAUGAGGCUGAAGGACAAAUAGGGACAAUAACAAGACGUGUUCCAGGAGUCCCCUGCUUCUGUGGCACCUUGUUUUGAGUUCUGAUUUGGCCAGGUAUAUGUUACAACAGCCCUGAGAUACCACUGGGAAAGCUGGGAAUCCACAUCUUCCCUACAGAAGUCAUUUUUAAUGGAAAGAGCUUCAAAUGUUGACAUUCCAGACUAUUCCAGGAUUUUUUAAAAGACCGUUAUGGCCUCCUGUGAGGUCUGCGGUUAGUUGAGUAGUAACUGAUGUUUGCUUUUAUAGAGAAGGAACACAGGAAUAGUCUCAAUAACAUUUUUAAACCUCUCAAAAUAAAUUCAUUUUCCAUGACACAAAUGGCACCUCCAGAAUAGAGAGUGGCAGAUUGUGGUAUGAAAUUUUACUGGUACCAAUCAGGAUGACAUUCCCAACCCACUAGUGCCAUCGCUGGUCAGGUAAACAAAGACUAACAGAUGAUUUACUGAAGGAGAUGUCCCAUUUUUCAUCAACAAAAGCAAUGCUGCUGGUGAGGUUUCAGCUUGUGGUUUCUACACAUGCCAUUGCUGUCCUCUGCUCAUAGCCACAGAAGUCAUUCUGGUAGUCCAUAGGUUUUCACUCCUUGAUGCAUUUCAUCACCCAGAGUCCCUGGAGCACAGGAAAAUGCUCCCAUGCUCAUGGAAAAAUUCAGACACAGAAAGGUUAAGUGGUUAGCGAAGUAUACACAAAAACUGCAGUAGAAGUGAACUUCUCUCCAUGUCUGAAGUCCAUAUCCAGAUCACUCCACCAACACUGUUUACCUGGCUCCACUGACUAUCUUACAUAGAUGAUCUCUAAAUCACCACAGAAAUACCAUGGAUUGCAAUCAGUAACGUAUUAGAGCCAAUUCAAGCUCUAUAGUACUUCUUGCAAGCUCCUAGAUUCUUUGAAUAUAGGAGGUCUCUGCAGGAGCCACUGAUGCUGGUCUUCUAUUGGAGUCAGUGAGUGAACCAGGAAAAAAAGUUAUUCCCACUGCAAUUGAAAUCAAACUCAUAUUUUCCUCAGCAGAGCUAUUUUAAGUCAUUCGUUAUUAUCUUUUUUCUCCCCAAAUAAAAGCCUGUUUGAUACUCAGAGGUUGUUAGAACCAAAGGGGAAAGACAGAACACUGGGGUAUUGUUCUUGCUGCAAUUGCAGACUUACUUGGCACCUUAAAAAGAUUUUACUAAAAAACAAACCAACUCUGGAACGCUUUGAGGAAGAAGAAGAAAACAGAAAAGGAAAACAGGAAAAAAAGAAAAUCCAUGCUGUUCUUGGGCAGUGUCAGGGAAGUAAGGCCUGAAGUUACCAUACUGGGUCCAGUCCAUUGCUGCCGUAAGGGAGCGUAAUCCACUGAUUCUUGUGUUCAGACGUGAUGUGUAUGAGGCUAUGACACAGAUUAUAUAAUUUAACCUUUGUGAUGUACAAAGGAUCCAGUACUGAGCUCCU